CCUACGGGUGGCAGCAGUGAGGAAUAUUGGUCAAUGGACGAGAGUCUGAACCAGCCAAGUAGCGUGAAGGAUGACUGCCCUAUGGGUUGUAAACUUCUUUUAUAUGGGAAUAAAAUGUUCCACGUGUGGGAUUUUGUAUGUACCAUAUGAAUAAGGAUCGCCUAACUCCGUGCCAGCAGCCGCGGUAAUACGGAGGAGCCGAGCGUUAUCCGGAUUUAUUGGGUUUAAAGGGAGCGUAGGUGGAUUGUUAAGUCAGUUGUGAAAGUUUGCGGCUCAACCGUAAAAUUGCAGUUGAAACUGGCAGUCUUGAGUACAGUAGAGGUGGGCGGAAUUCGUGGUGUAGCGGUGAAAUGCUUAGAUAUCACGAAGAACUCCGAUUGCGAAGGCAGUUCACUGGACUGCAACUGACACUGAGGCUCGAAAGUGUGGGUAUCAAACAGGAUUAGAUACCCCUGUAGUC
rnacentral:rRNA from 1 species